GCUUACGACCAUACCACGUUGAAUGCACGCCAUCCCGUCCGAUCUGGCAAGUUAAGCAACGUUGGGCCUGGUUAGUACUUGGAUCGGAGACGGCUUGGGAGUCCCAGGUGUUGUAAGCUUUU
rnacentral:rRNA from 1 species